rnacentral:rRNA from 1 species
AUUGAACGCUGGCAGCAGGCCUGACACAUGCAAGUCGAACGAGUGGCGGACGGGUGAGUAAUGUCUGGGAAACUGCCCGAUGGAGGGGGAUAACUACUGGAAACGGUAGCUAAUACCGCAUACCAUCGGAUGUGCCCAGAUGGGAUUAGCUAGUAGGUGGGGUAAUGGCUCACCUAGGCGACGAUCCCUAGCUGGUCUGAGAGGAUGACGAGCCAAACUGGAAGUGAGAAACGGGCCAGACUCCUACGGGAGGCAGCAGUGGGGAAUAUGGCACAAGGGGCGCAAGCCUGAUGCAGCCAUGCCGCGUGUAGGAAGAAGGCCUUCGGGUUGUAAAGUACUUUCAGCGAGGAGGCGUUACUCUCAGAAGAACCACCUGCGAACUCCGUGCCAGCCGCCGCGUUAAUAC